rnacentral:rRNA from 1 species
GACGAACGCUGGCGGCGUGCUUAACACAUGCAAGUCGAACGGUAAGGCCCUUCGGGGUACACGAGUGGCGAACGGGUGAGUAACACGUGGGUGAUCUGCCCUGCACUUCGGGAUAAGCCUGGGAAACUGGGUCUAAUACCGGAUAGGACCACUGCCUGCAUGGGUGGUGGUGGAAAGCUUUUGCGGUGUGGGAUGGGCCCGCGGCCUAUCAGCUUGUUGGUGGGGUGAUGGCCUACCAAGGCGACGACGGGUAGCCGGCCUGAGAGGGUGACCGGCCACACUGAGACUGAGAUACGGCCCAGACUCCGACGGGAGGCAGCAGUGGGGAAUAUGGCACAAUGGGCGCAAGCCUGAUGCAGCGACGCCGCGUGAGGGAUGACGGCCUUCGGGUUGUAAACCUCUUUCAGCACCGACGAAGCGCAAGUGACGGUAGGUGCAGAAGAAGGACCGGCCAACUACGUGCCAGCCGCCGCCGUAACAC